GGUUAAGCGACUAAGCGUACACGGUGGAUGCCCUGGCAGUCAGAGGCGAUGAAGGACGUGCUAAUCUGCGAAAAGCGUCGGUAAGGUGAUAUGAACCGUUAUAACCGGCGAUGUCCGAAUGGGGAAACCCAGUGUGUUCCGACACACUAUCAUUAACUGAAUCCAUAGGUUAAUGAGGCGAACCGGGGGAACUGAAACAUCUAAGUACCCCGAGGAAAAGAAAUCAACCGAGAUUCCCCCAGUAGCGGCGAGCGAACGGGGAGGAGCCCAGAGCCUGAAUCAGUGUGUGUGUUAGUGGAAGCGUCUGGAAAGGCGCGCGAUACAGGGUGACAGCCCCGUACACAAAAAUGCACAUAUUGUGAGCUCGAUGAGUAGGGCGGGACACGUGGUAUCCUGUCUGAAUAUGGGGGGACCAUCCUCCAAGGCUAAAUACUCCUGACUGACCGAUAGUGAAGCAGUACCGUGAGGGAAAGGCGAAAAGAACCCCGGCGAGGGGAGUGAAAAAGAACCUGAAACCGUGUACGUACAAGCAGUGGGAGCCCUGAUUUAUCAGGGUGACUGCGUACCUUUUGUAUAAUGGGUCAGCGACUUAUAUUCUGUAGCAAGGUUAACCGAAUAGGGGAGCCGGAGGGAAACCGAGUCUUAACUGGGCGUUAAGUUGCAGGGUAUAGACCCGAAACCCGGUGAUCUAGCCAUGGGCAGGUUGAAGGUUGGGUAACACUAACUGGAGGACCGAACCGACUAAUGUUGAAAAAUUAGCGGAUGACUUGUGGCUGGGGGUGAAAGGCCAAUCAAACCGGGAGAUAGCUGGUUCUCCCCGAAAGCUAUUUAGGUAGCGCCUCGUGAAUUCAUCUCCGGGGGUAGAGCACUGUUUCGGCAAGGGGGUCAUCCCGACUUACCAACCCGAUGCAAACUGCGAAUACCGGAGAAUGUUAUCACGGGAGACACACGGCGGGUGCUAACGUCCGUCGUGAAGAGGGAAACAACCCAGACCGCCAGCUAAGGUCCCAAAGUCAUGGUUAAGUGGGAAACGAUGUGGGAAGGCCCAGACAGCCAGGAUGUUGGCUUAGAAGCAGCCAUCAUUUAAAGAAAGCGUAAUAGCUCACUGGUCGAGUCGGCCUGCGCGGAAGAUGUAACGGGGCUAAACCAUGCACCGAAGCUGCGGCAGCGACGCUGAUGCGUUGUUGGGUAGGGGAGCGUUCUGUAAGCCUGUGAAGGUGGCCUGUGAGGGUUGCUGGAGGUAUCAGAAGUGCGAAUGCUGACAUAAGUAACGAUAAAGCGGGUGAAAAGCCCGCUCGCCGGAAGACCAAGGGUUCCUGUCCAACGUUAAUCGGGGCAGGGUGAGUCGACCCCUAAGGCGAGGCCGAAAGGCGUAGUCGAUGGGAAACAGGUUAAUAUUCCUGUACUUGGUGUUACUGCGAAGGGGGGACGGAGAAGGCUAUGUUGGCCGGGCGACGGUUGUCCCGGUUUAAGCGUGUAGGCUGGUUUUCCAGGCAAAUCCGGAGAAUCAAGGCUGAGGCGUGAUGACGAGGCACUACGGUGCUGAAGCAACAAAUGCCCUGCUUCCAGGAAAAGCCUCUAAGCAUCAGGUAACAUCAAAUCGUACCCCAAACCGACACAGGUGGUCAGGUAGAGAAUACCAAGGCGCUUGAGAGAACUCGGGUGAAGGAACUAGGCAAAAUGGUGCCGUAACUUCGGGAGAAGGCACGCUGAUGGUAGGUGAAGCGACUUGCUCGUGGAGCUGAAAUCAGUCGAAGAUACCAGCUGGCUGCAACUGUUUAUUAAAAACACAGCACUGUGCAAACACGAAAGUGGACGUAUACGGUGUGACGCCUGCCCGGUGCCGGAAGGUUAAUUGAUGGGGUCAGCGCAAGCGAAGCUCUUGAUCGAAGCCCCGGUAAACGGCGGCCGUAACUAUAACGGUCCUAAGGUAGCGAAAUUCCUUGUCGGGUAAGUUCCGACCUGCACGAAUGGCGUAAUGAUGGCCAGGCUGUCUCCACCCGAGACUCAGUGAAAUUGAACUCGCUGUGAAGAUGCAGUGUACCCGCGGCAAGACGGAAAGACCCCGUGAACCUUUACUAUAGCUUGACACUGAACACUGGUCCUUGAUGUGUAGGAUAGGUGGGAGGCUUUGAAGUGUGGACGCCAGUCUGCAUGGAGCCGUCCUUGAAAUACCACCCUUUAAUGGCUGGUGUUCUAACGUGGGCCCGUAAUCCGGGUUGCGGACAGUGUCUGGUGGGUAGUUUGACUGGGGCGGUCUCCUCCUAAAGAGUAACGGAGGAGCACGAAGGUUAGCUAAUCUUGGUCGGACAUCAGGAGGUUAGUGCAAAGGCAUAAGCUAGCUUGACUGCGAGAGUGACGGCUCGAGCAGGUGCGAAAGCAGGUCUUAGUGAUCCGGUGGUUCUGUAUGGAAGGGCCAUCGCUCAACGGAUAAAAGGUACUCCGGGGAUAACAGGCUGAUACCGCCCAAGAGUUCAUAUCGACGGCGGUGUUUGGCACCUCGAUGUCGGCUCAUCACAUCCUGGGGCUGAAGUAGGUCCCAAGGGUAUGGCUGUUCGCCAUUUAAAGUGGUACGCGAGCUGGGUUUAGAACGUCGUGAGACAGUUCGGUCCCUAUCUGCCGUGGGCGCUGGAGAACUGAGGGGGGCUGCUCCUAGUACGAGAGGACCGGAGUGGACGCAUCACUGGUGUUCGGGUUGUCAUGCCAAUGGCAUUGCCCGGUAGCUAAAUGCGGAAAAGAUAAGUGCUGAAAGCAUCUAAGCACGAAACUUGUCCCAAGAUGAGUUCUCCCUGACUCUUUAAGAGUCCUGAAGGAACGUUGAAGACGACGACGUUGAUAGGCUGGGUGUGUAAGUGUAGCGAUACAUUGAGCUAACCAGUACUAAUGAACCGUGAGGCUUAACCUU
rnacentral:rRNA from 1 species